AGUUCGGACUGUAGGCUGCAACUCGCCUACACGAAGUUGGAAUUGCUAGUAAUCGUGGAUCAGCAUGCCACGGUGAAUACGUUCCCGGGUCUUGUACACACCGCCCGUCACACCAUGGGAGCUGGUAACACCCGAAGUCAGUAGUCUAACCGCAAGGAGGACGCUGCCGAAGGUGGGAUUAGCGACUGGGGUGAAGUCGUAACAAGGUAAC
rnacentral:rRNA from 1 species